AGAGUUUGAUCCUGGCUCAGGACGAACGCUUGCGGCGUGCCUAAGAAAUGCAAGUCGAGCGGGGAGCAAUCCCAGCGGCGAACGGUCGCGUAACACGUAAGCAACCUGCCCGAAAGACCGGGAUAACGUUCCGAAAGGGGCGCUAAUACCGGAUGUGACCGCCCUGUGACAUCGCGGGGUGAUUAAAUCAUUUAUGGCUUUCGGAGGGGCUUGCGGCCUAUCAGCUAGAUGGCGGGGUAACGGCUCACCAUGGCGACGACGGGUAGCUGGUCUGAGAGGAUGGUCAGCCGGACUGGGACUGAGAUACGGCCCAGACUCCUACGGGGGGCAGCGAAUUAGGAAUCUUGCGCAAUGGGCGAAAGCCUGACGCAGCGACGCCGCGUGGAGGGAGGAAAGGCCUUCGGGUUG
rnacentral:rRNA from 1 species